rnacentral:rRNA from 1 species
UAGGGAAUUUUUCACAAUGAGCGAAAGCUUGAUGGAGCAAUGCCGCGUGAACGAUGAAGGUCUUUAAGAUUGUAAAGUUCUUUUAUUUGGGAAGAAUGACUUUAGCAGGUAAUGGCUAGAGUUUGACUGUACCAUUUUGAAUAAGUGACGACUAACUAUGUGCCAGCAGUCGCGGUAAUACAUAGGUCGCAAGCGUUAUCCGGAUUUAUUGGGCGUAAAGCAAGCGCAGGCGGAUUGAAAAGUCUGGUGUUAAAGGCAGCUGCUUAACAGUUGUAUGCAUUGGAAACUAUUAAUCUAGAGUGUGGUAGGGAGUUUUGGAAUUUCAUGUGGAGCGGUGAAAUGCGUAGAUAUAUGAAGGAACACCAGUGGCGAAGGCGAAAACUUAGGCCAUUACUAACGCUUAGGCUUGAAAGUGUGGGGAGCAAAUAGGAUUAGAUACCCUAGUAGUCCACACCGUAAACGAUAGAUACUAGCUGUCGGGGCGAUCCCCUCGGUAGUGAAGUUAACACAUUAAGUAUCUCGCCUGGGUAGUACAUUCGCAAGAAUG